rnacentral:rRNA from 1 species
CCUACGGGAGGCUGCAGUGGGGAAUAUUGCACAAUGGGCGCAAGCCUGAUGCAGCCAUGCCGCGUGUGUGAAGAAGGCCUUCGGGUUGUAAAGCACUUUCAGCGGGGAGGAAGGCGGUGAGGUUAAUAACCUCAUCGAUUGACGUUACCCGCAGAAGAAGCACCGGCUAACUCCGUGCCAGCAGCCGCGGUAAUACGGAGGGUGCAAGCGUUAAUCGGAAUUACUGGGCGUAAAGCGCACGCAGGCGGUCUGUCAAGUCGGAUGUGAAAUCCCCGGGCUCAACCUGGGAACUGCAUUCGAAACUGGCAGGCUAGAGUCUUGUAGAGGGGGGUAGAAUUCCAGGUGUAGCGGUGAAAUGCGUAGAGAUCUGGAGGAAUACCGGUGGCGAAGGCGGCCCCCUGGACAAAGACUGACGCUCAGGUGCGAAAGCGUGGGGAGCAAACAGGAGUAGAUACCCUAGUAGUC